GUGUAGAUAGCCUGCUAGAAUUUGCUUGACUAAUAGCAGUUCUUUAGCAACAUAUUUUAGUAAGAUAAGUGUAAAAAUGUAGUGUCCUUUCUGGCACUCAGUCUGAUUUUGUAUAACAGUCCCAUUUUUAUUCUGAAGUGUGAAGCUGGAGUAGCAUUCUUCCUCGGUUUGAAGAGAUUUACCUGCAAUCCAACCUUGAUCUUCUUGGUGAGAGCUCCCUGAGGGAAGACAGCCUGGACUUGGGGUACGACGCUGGAAGAGACCAUGCCUCCCUCAGGGCCGAUGGCAUGGACCUCCUGGCGUACUCGAGUUACCACUGCGAAGUAGUGCGGGAAGUCGGUAGUUAGAAUACGUGUGGUGCGAGCAUUCUCAUCCAGCUGGGCCAGAUCUGUUGACAUCAAACCAACUGUUGACAAAGCUACUUGGAAUAUUUUACAAGCUGUGACUCAGCACGUCCUGUACUGCCUCUUCACUGCAGUCUACCGUAUGUUCCCGCCAAGUCUCACCAUUGUCCGAGCGUAAGAUGACGAUCUCUCGCUCUUUCCCACGCAGGGAACCGAAAUGAGGCACUUCAAUCAUCACAGCCCAAGAAUGCAGACUCAACAUGCCACACUAUUGGUGGUGUUGGCAGUCGACCCAGAGAAUGAAUGAUGGCUGCCAACUUCAGCCAUUUCCGAGACCUGCCAUCAUCAUGCUCACUGUUUUCAUUGGCACAAACGGCUGCACAAAAAUGUGUUCUGAAACGCGCUUGGAGUGAGAUUCUACUGAUAGGGGUUGUAAAACUAAUCUGUUCAUGGUUGUAAAACUGCAUGUAAUCUAAACAUUACAAGAAAACAAAUUAAAAAUUAUGACUCACUUUACGAUGAUGACCCAAAUAUACAUCAAGCCAGAUGUAAUAGAAUUAAAUUAUUAAAAUCAAAAUUCUUAA